rnacentral:rRNA from 1 species
CUACGGGCUGCUCCAGUGAGGAAUAUUGCACAAUGGGGGGAACCCUGAUGCAGCAACGCCGCGUGGAGGAUGACGCAUUUCGGUGUGUAAACUCCUUUUAUAUGUCAAGAAAAUGACGGUAGCAUAUGAAUAAGCACCGGCUAACUCCGUGCCAGCAGCCGCGGUAAUACGGAGGGUGCAAGCGUUACUCGGAAUCACUGGGCGUAAAGGACGCGUAGGCGGGUUGGAAAGUCAGGUGUGAAAUCCUACAGCUUAACUGUAGAACUGCACUUGAAACUUCUAAUCUAGAGUAUGGGAGGGGAGAUGGAAUGAGUGGUGUAGGGGUAAAAUCCGUAGAUAUCACUAGGAAUACCUAAAGCGAAGGCGAUCUCCUGGGACAUUACUGACGCUAAGGCGUGAAAGCGUGGGGAGCAAACAGGAUUAGAUACCCUAGUAGUC